UACGAAGGGGGCUAGCGUUGCUCGGAAUCACUGGGCGUAAAGCGCACGUAGGCGGAUCUUUAAGUCGGGGGUGAAAUCCCGGAGCUCAACUCCGGAACUGCCUUCGAUACUGAGGAUCUUGAGUCCGGGAGAGGUGAGUGGAACUGCGAGUGUAGAGGUGAAAUUCGUAGAUAUUCGCAAGAACACCAGUGGCGAAGGCGGCUCACUGGCCCGGUACUGACGCUGAGGUGCGAAAGCGUGGGGAGCAAACAGG
rnacentral:rRNA from 1 species